CCUACGGUAGGCAGCAGUGAGGAAUAUUGGUCAAUGUACGGAAGUCUGAACCAGCCAUGCCGCGUGCAGGAAGAAGGCUCUAUGAGUUGUAAACUGCUUUUGUACAAGGGUAAACCUGAAUAAGUGUAUUCAUCUGAAAGUACUGUACGAAUAAGGAUCGGCUAACUCCGUUCCAGCCGCCGCGGUAAUACGGAGGAUCCAAGCGUUAUCCGGUUUUAUUGGGUUUAAAGGGUAGGUAGGUGGAUUGGUAAGUUAGAGGUGAAAUGUUCGAGCUUAACUCGGGAACUGCCUGUAAUACUGUUGAUCUAGAGAGUAGAUGCGGUAGGGGAAUGUAUGGUGUAGCGGUGAAAUGCUGAGAGAUCAUACAGAACACCGAUUGCGAAGGAAGCUUACCAAUCUAUAUCUGACGUUGAGGCACGAAAGCGUGGGGAGCAAACAGGAUUAGAUACCCCAGUAGUC
rnacentral:rRNA from 1 species